rnacentral:rRNA from 1 species
GAUCCUGGCUCAGAACGAACGCUGGCGGCAGGCUUAACACAUGCAAGUUGAACGGGAUUUGUGUGGUGCUUGCACCAUAUAAUGAGAGUAGCGCACUGGUGAGUAACACGUGGGAACGUGCCUUUUAGUGGGGGGAUAACAUCUGGAAACGGAUGCUAAUACCGCAUACGCCCUGAGGGGGAAAGAUUUAUUGCUAAGAGGUCGGCCCGCGGUAGAUUAGGCAGUUGGUGGGGUAAAGGCCUACCAAACCUACGA